GCGCCCUUAGCUCAGUUGGUAGAGCAUCUGACUUUUAAUCAGGUGGUCGCAGGUUCGAGCCCUGCAGGGCGCA
rnacentral:tRNA from 2 species